rnacentral:rRNA from 1 species
GACGAACGCUGGCGGCGUGCUUAACACAUGCCAGUCGAACGGAAAGGCCCUGCUUUUGUGGGGUGCUCGAGUGGCGAACGGGUGAGUAACACGUGAGUAACCUGCCCUUGACUUUGGGAUAACUUCAGGAAACUGGGGCUAAUACCGGAUAGGAGCUCCUGCUGCACGGUGGGGGUUGGAAAGUUUCGGCGGUUGGGGAUGGACUCGCGGCUUAUCAGCUUGUUGGUGGGGUAGUGGCUUACCAAGGCUUUGACGGGUAGCCGGCCUGCGAGGGUGGCCGGCCACAUUGGGACUGAGAUACGGCCCAGACUCCUACGGGAGGCAGCCGUGAGGAAUAUUGCACAAUGGGCGGAAGCCUGAUGCAGCAACGCCGCGUGCGGGAUGACGGCCUUCGGGUUGUAGACCGCUUUCGCCUGUGACGAAGCGUGAGUGACGGUAAUGGGUAAAGAAGCACCGGCUAACUACGUG